AAUUACAUUUGCAGCGGUAUCCUUUUUACGGCUCCGCUGCGCUGCGCCGUAAAAAGGAUACAAGCGAAAAGCAGGAAUUAGC
rnacentral:sRNA from 1 species